rnacentral:precursor_RNA from 13 species
CCAGCGCUUAGAACAGUGCUCUGCACAGAGUAGGCGCUUAACAAAUACUCACAUUAUGGUUAUUAUCAGUGCUAUUUACUGAGCGCUUACCGUGUGCAGAGAGCCAUACCAAGCACUUGGG